GUGAUGGUGACUAAACGACAGUUUGGCUGUUGAGUUUCAUUUUCAUCUUUGCAACUUCCUCAAAAAUGGACGCUGAACAACAGAAGAAGGCAGAAGAAUUUCUAUUGUCUGGAGCAAGUUUUAGGACAAAUGCCUUCAGAAUCAUCAACAUAAUGAUUAAACUAUGCAAAGACAAGCCUGGCUGUAAGGUGCAUGUGGAUGAGGUAUGUAUGCAUUUGAAGGUGUCAUUGGAUAGUUUAUCUUCUUUUCCUGCAUAAAACAACCUCAAAAAAUAUGAAUGAAUGGAUGGAUGGAUGGAUAGAGUCAUCCAGAAAUUAGGGUUAUGCAUCCAAAGAGACAAUCAUUUAAUUUGUACUUCUCAUAGCAAACCUGUGUUUGUCUCUAAGAUUCUCCACAGCAUCUUCUUCUUAGGUUUCAUUCAUAAACCCCAACAAUGCACCCCCAACGAUAUCCUUGGUGAACUUAUGCCUGAAAUGGAGAGGAUUUUCCCGAGACCAUUUGAGAAUUACACAAGUAAACUGCCCAAACGGACUCCGUUCUCCUCUGUGCUGGAUAUGGUAAGUGUUGUGUUGAUGAAUGCUUUUUAUUAUUAUACCGUAUUAAUUCAACUGAGAAAGGACAAACCUUCAAUGACUUCAAUGCUAUAUGCAGCAACAAUGUCAUACUCGUUUGGACCAGACAGCAUCAGAUAGAUGGCAUACCAGUAGAGAGACAGAGGGGUGCUGUUUUACUCGCUUGGAUGCUUUCUCCUGUGCGAUACUGUACAUUCAGCGUCUUGCGAAUUGACGGAAAACCCUUUUUUUCUUUUUGGGGAUUUUACCUGACCUGUCUUUUGACGUCUGUUGUCAUCUACUCCCAGGUGGUCUCCUUGCUUGGACCAGACAGUGAGAUCAAUAUACUGGAGAGACUGAAGGAAAUCGCCAAUAUCAUGUCAGAAGCCAAGAGUAAAUACCAGUUCACCUCCUCGACCAUCUGUGUCUCUCAAAGGAAGGAUGUUCAAAGAAGUUACUAUGGAGCGUCCAUGUCCUGCACGGGGAAGAAAGGACAGAUUAUGAUCGCUGUGUCCUGUCUGUGUACCUGGCACUACAGUGUAUCCAAUGCCGUGAUGACAUACAAGCCAGAUAAGAACAAGAGAAAUAACUUUGAUGGCACCAUGAAACUACAAGGACAUGUAAAGUGCCAGGCUUCCAAUGUGAAGAGUGGGGAGGAGAUGUCUCCUUGCAGGUCCUGUGGUCAUCUUUUUGGUCUGAAGGAACCAAGCAAUCAGAUGUGGCCCUAUGGGAACUGCGCAGAGGCAGAGAGCUUGAGCAAACUGCUCUAUGGAGAGGAAGAGAUUGUUAAGAAUGUAGUACCAUCAGUUGAUUGCAAAAUGCGAGAGCAAGUGGUGAAGGAGGUAAAGGCUCACCUGGAAGAGAUGCUCAAAGAGUCAGAAUUUCAAUGGGAUUCUUCCUAUUACAUUCCACAGUAGAUUGUCAGAGAAACGCAUGUGCGCACACGCACACACACACUAAGUUUACAGAUAUACAGAUGCACAUUCCUACUGUGACACACAGAUCCAAAACAUAUAAUCAUAGCUUGGUGCGGGGCUAGCAACAUGUGAUUUGUGUCUGACAGCUAGCAUUGAAACAUUGCCAAAGCAGUGAACCACUCUGUGCAUGUAGUAUACAGUAUAACUGCUAGGCUAUAGCUAUCGGCUCUUAUCAAUGACAUCUGUGAGGUAGAUGGUUCUUUUAGAAGGGGACCGUUGUUUAGAGUACCUCAUGGAGAUACCUGAAAUUGAAUUUAAUAUUCUAGUCUAGACAAAGCAUUUAACAUAUAUAUAUUUUUAAAGAUGAUUUUAAUUGGAAUUUUAAACUUUAUUUCUGUAUACUCUAGUUAUUAAUGCACAUUUUACUAAUCUGUAACAAAUUACUAAUACUGUAAACAUUGGUGUGAAUUCAUGUCUGGGUUGAUUUCUAGCUAUGUGAGGAAUUCAUCUAAUAAAGGAACUUAAAUUGUAACCAUUGUAAUGUAGCCUAUGUUGUCAUUUGUGUGUGUGACAGAGAGAUUUUCAGUGCUUACUGUUCUUAGUUUGCAAACGGAAGGGUGAAGAGAGUUGAAAUAGCAGAACAAAAAAACAGGAUGCUGAUAAAGUGAAGUGCAAUUAUUCAUGGUAUUGUGUAUUGGUAUAUUGAAGUGAAUAUACUGUAUGUGUGUGGGAAGAGAAAUUUCC
ensembl:lncRNA